rnacentral:rRNA from 1 species
CCUACGGGUGGCUGCAGCAAGGAAUUUUCCGCAAUGGCCUUAGGGGCUGACGGAGCAACGCCGCGUGGAUGAUGAAGUCUUUCGAGAUGUAAAAUCCUUUUAUGUGUGAAGACAGCCGACGGUAACACAUGAAUAAGCAUCGGCUAACUACGUGCCAGCAGCCGCGGUAAUACGUAGGAUGCAAGCGUUGUCCGGAAUUAUUGGGCGUAAAGGGCGCGCAGGCGGUUUGGUCAGUCAGUUGUGAAAUCUCCCGGCUUAACUGGGAGGGGUCAAUUGAUACUGCCAGACUUGAGGGCAGAAGAGGAAAGUGGAAUUCCCGGUGUAGUGGUGAAAUGCGUAGAUAUCGGGAGGAACACCAAUGGCGAAAGCAGCUUUCUGGUCUGCUCCUGACGCUCAGGCGCGAAGGCUAGGGGAGCAAACAGGAUUAGAUACCCCGGUAGUC